AUGGGCUUAGGUCAUGAGCAAGGAAUUGGAGCCCCCUGUCGAAAGUGCAAAGAAAACUGUGAAGGAUUUGAACUACAUUUCUGGAGGAAAACAUGUCGUAACUGCAAAUGUGAGCAAGAAGAGCAUGGCAUACUCCUGAGCACUGAGAGGGACAGGAAAGUUGGAAGACUCUUUGAAGAUGCCAAGUACAUCAACCUGAUCGCCAAGCUGAAUUCAGAGGCAAUUUCCACAUACAAACCCAAUGGAAUGGUAUUGAGACAUCCAGUGCCUGCAAAGAAGAAGGAUUGCAUUAACACUGUUACCUAUGAUUGGACUCCCUCUGUCCGGAACAAGGCACUGGCCAGGCAGUACAUGCAGAUGCUGCCUAAGGAGAAGCAGCCAGUGACUGGUUCAGAAGGGGCACAGUACCGGAAGAAGCAGUUGGCGAAGCAGCUCCCUGCACAUGACCAGGACCCUUCUAAGUGCCAUGAGUUGUCUUACAAUGAGGUAAAGGAGAUGAGGAAGUUUGUGAAAAAAUACAAGAGUGAGGCUCUGGGAAUAGGUAAUGUGAAACUUCUCUCUGAGAUGAAUGCUCAAGGUGACAAGGUACACAACCCCCCUGGAAUUAGAAACAGCACAGCAGUAGUGGGCUCCAAGGACAAGUCUAAGGAAUCUAAGAAGAGCCAAUAUUCCUGUUACUGCUGCAAACACCCCAUGAAAGAAGGAGACCCAGUCAUCUAUGCUGAAAGGGCUGGCAACAGUAAACUCUGGCACCCGGCUUGUUUUAUCUGCAGCAUCUGUGGAGAAAUCCUGGUAGACAUGGUUUACUUCUGGAAGAAUGGGAAGCUAUACUGUGGCAGACAUUACUGUGACAGUGAGAAGCCCCGUUGUUCUGGCUGUGAUGAGCUAAUAUUUAGCAAUGAAUAUACCCAAGCAGAAAACAAGAAUUGGCAUCUGAAACACUUCUGUUGCAUUGACUGCCACAGUGUCCUGGCAGGAAAAAUAUAUGUGAUGCUCAGAUCCAAGCCUGUGUGCAAGCGCUGCUACAUGCAGAACCAUGCUGUGGUGUGUCAAGGAUGCCACAAUGCCAUCGAUCCAGAAGAGAAGAGAGUAACCUACAAAAUAUUCAGCUGGCAUGCAUCCACAGCAUGUUUCUUAUGCUCUUGCUGCAGCAAGUGUCUUAUCGGAGAAAAGUUCAUUCCUGUAGAAGGGAUGGUUUUCUGUUCCAUGCAGUGUAAGAAUAUGAUGUCCUAAGAGGAGUGUACCAAGCAGGAUGGAGCCAUAGCUGUCUGCAGCAGCCU